AGCAAUUCGAGUUGCAUAAACUUGUAAGUGAGAUAACAUAACUGACUCAAAAUCAUCUAAGAUGUCGAGAAUUUUUUUGAUAGUCGUCGUAAUCGCAAUAUUUGCUGCAGUUGCAGUAAGAGCUUGCACAAUGCCAGGAGGACUUUGUAAUGACAGUGACCAAUGUUGUGGUCCAGCCCUUUGCAGUACUAUCCGUGGAGGUGCUACAAGAUGC